rnacentral:piRNA from 1 species
UGGCUAUCAAUACACUCUGCAAAGACUGC